UACGUAGGGGGCUAGCGUUGUCCGGAAUCAUUGGGCGUAAAGCGCGCGUAGGCGGCCAGAUAAGUCCGGUGUGAAAGUCAAAGGCUCAACCUUUGAAUGCCGCUGGAAACUGUCUGGCUAGAGUCCGGAGGGCGAGUGGAAUUCCUGGGUGUGAGCGGUGAAAUGACGCAGAUAUCAGGAGGAACACCAAUGGCGAAGGCAGCUCGCUGGAACGGUACUGACGCUGGAGGC
rnacentral:rRNA from 1 species